rnacentral:rRNA from 1 species
GACGAACGCUGGCGGCGUGCCUAACACAUGCAAGUCGAGCGGAGAUGUGGAGUAGUUUACUACAAAGCAUUUUAGCGGCGGACGGGUGAGUAACGCGUGGGCAACCUGCCUUACAGAGGGGGAUAACAGUGCGAAAGUACUGCUAAUACCGCAUGAUAUUGUACUGCCACAUGGCAGAACAAUCAAAGGAGAAAUCCGCUGUAAGAUGGGCCCGCGUCUGAUUAGCUAGUUGGUGAGGUAAGAGCUCACCAAGGCGACGAUCAGUAGCCGAUCUGAGAGGAUGAACGGCCACACUGGAACUGAGACACGGUCCAGACUCCUACGGUGGCAG